rnacentral:rRNA from 1 species
UACGUAGGUGGCGAGCGUUGUCCGGAUUUAUUGGGCGUAAAGAGCUCGUAGGCUGCUUGUCGCGUCGGAUGUGAAAGCCCGGGGCUUAACUCCGGGUCUGCAUUCGAUACGGGCAGGCUAGAGUUCGGUAGGGGAGAUCGGAAUUCCUGGUGUAGCGGUGAAAUGCGCAGAUAUCAGGAGGAACACCGGUGGCGAAGGCGGAUCUCUGGGCAGAUACUGACGCUGAGGAGCGAAAGCGUGGGGAGCGAACAGG